GGAAACUUGCAAUGCGGGGUGUCGUGGACUAACUAGGUGCACUGAGUUUAUGAAGCUUCAAAAACAUGGUCUCAUUCCAUUGCAAAUUAAUGAUGGCUGAUUUCAUUCUAGAUUGGAGCAAAAUGAAUUAUCGUGAGAUGGUAGAGAAGAACCUUGGGAAGAAGUUCAAUGACUUCGACUACCAGCUUCAUAAAAUUUACAGGGGUUGUGCAACACACCAGGAGGCAUUAAUGAAGUCAACGUCAUUGGUGGAACCAGAUGUAUGGAAAAAGCUAUGUGAGAGAUGAGGGAGCGAUGAUUUCAAG